rnacentral:rRNA from 1 species
AACGCUAGCUACAGGCUUAACACAUGCAAGUCGAGGGGCAGCAUUUUAGUUUGCUUGCAAACUAAAGAUGGCGACCGGCGCACGGGUGAGUAACACGUAUCCAACCUGCCGAUAACUCGGGGAUAGCCUUUCGAAAGAAAGAUUAAUAUCCGAUAGUAUAUUAAAACCGCAUGGUUUUACUAUUAAAGAAUUUCGGUUAUCGAUGGGGAUGCGUUCCAUUAGUUUGUUGGCGGGGUAACGGCCCACCAAGACUACGAUGGAUAGGGGUUCUGAGAGGAAGGUCCCCCACAUUGGAACUGAGACACGGUCCAAACUCCUACGGGAGGCAGCAGUGAGGAAUAUUGGUCAAUGGACGAGAGUCUGAACCAGCCAAGUAGCGUGAAGGAUGACUGCCCUAUGGGUUGUAAACUUCUUUUAUAUGGGAAUAAAGUAUUCCACGUGUGGGAUUUUGUAUGUACCAUAUGAAUAAGGAUCGGCUAACUCCGUGUCAGCAGCCGCGGUAAUACGGAGGAUCCGAGCGUUAUCCGGAUUUAUUGGGUUUAAAGGGAGCGUAGGUGGAUUGUUAAGUCAGUUGUGAAAGUUUGCGGCUCAACCGUAAAAUUGCAGUUGAAACUGGCAGUCUUGAGUACAGUAGAGGUGGGCGGAAUUCGUGGUGUAGCGGUGAAAUGCUUAGAUAUCACGAAGAACUCCGAUUG